CCCGGGUCUUGUACACACCGCCCGUCACACCAUGGGAGCGGGAUGUACCAGAAGUAGGUAGGCUAACCGCAAGGGGGCCGCUUACCACGGUGCGUUUCGUGACUGGGGUGAAGUCGUAAACAAGGUACC
rnacentral:rRNA from 1 species